UACGUACCGUACGAACGUUAUUCGGAAUUACUGGACUUAAAGGGUUUGUAGGCGGCCAUGUAAGUCAGGUGUGAAAUCCCUCGGCUCAACCGAGGAAUGGCGCUUGAUACUGUAUGGCUUGAGGGAGACAGGGGUAAGCGGAACUGAUGGUGGAGCGGUGAAAUGCGUUGAUAUCAUCAGGAACACCGGUGGCGAAAGCGGCUUACUGGGUCUCUUCUGACGCUGAGGAACGAAAGCUUGGGUAGCGAACGGG
rnacentral:rRNA from 1 species